rnacentral:rRNA from 1 species
GCGAACGCUAGCGGCAUGCCUAACACAUGCAAGUCGCACGGGGGGGCUUCGGCCUCCCAGUGGCGGACGGGUGAGGAACGCGUAGGGACCUGUCGAGGGGUGGGGGAUAACCGCGGGAAACUGCGGCUAAUACCGCAUGACGCCGCGGCGUGACAGCCGGGGCCAAAGGCGAAAGCCGCCCGCCGAGGGGCCUGCGUCCGAUUAGCUGGUUGGCGGGGUAGCGGCCCACCAAGGCGUCGAUCGGUAGCUGGUCUGAGAGGGUGAUCAGCCACACCGGGACUGAGACACGGCCCGGACUCCUACGGGAGGCAGCAGUGGGGAAUAUUGGACAAUGGGCGCAAGCCUGAUCCAGCAAUGCCGCGUGGGUGAAGAAGGUCUUCGGAUUGAAAAGCCCUUUCGGCGGGGACGAUGGUGACGGUACCCGCAGAAGAAGCCCCGGCUAACUUCGUG